rnacentral:misc_RNA from 1 species
CCAAACUUGGUCAUUUAGAGGAAGUAAAAGUCGUAACAAGGUCUCCGUUGGUGAACCAGCGGAGGGAUCAUUAACGGGUCGUUCGACUGCCCGAAAACACGCCGUGCAUCGUUCUCGUCCGUCCCGGGGAGCCUUUGGGCUCCUCGUUCCGGAAGACCAGCGCCGAGGCUUCGGCCGAGGCGGAGAAAGCAAAAACAAAACGCAUACAACCCACAACAAUGGAUCUCUUGGCUCUGGCAUCGAUGAAGAACGCAGC